rnacentral:rRNA from 1 species
UACGUAGGGUGCAAGCGUUGUCCGGAAUUAUUGGGCGUAAAGAGCUCGUAGGCGGUCUGUCACGUCGGCUGUGAAAACUCGGGGCUCAACCCCGAGCCUGCAGUCGAUACGGGCAGACUAGAGUGCGGUAGGGGAGACUGGAAUUCCUGGUGUAGCGGUGAAAUGCGCAGAUAUCAGGAGGAACACCUAUAGCGAAGGCAGCUUGCUGGGACGUUACUGACGCUAAGGCGCGAAAGCGUGGGGAGCGAACAGG